GUGAGGAAUAUUGGUCAAUGGGCGAGAGCCUGAACCAGCCAAGUAGCGUGAAGGAUGAAGGUUCUAUGGAUUGUAAACUUCUUUUAUAAGGGAAUAACGGGCACUACGUGUAGUGUUAUGCAUGUAUCUUAUGAAUAAGCAUCGGCUAACUCCGUGCCAGCAGCCGCGGUAAUACGGAGGAUGCGAGCGUUAUCCGGAUUUAUUGGGUUUAAAGGGAGCGUAGGCGGGAGAUUAAGUCAGCUGUGAAAGUUCGGGGCUCAACCUUGGAAUUGCAGUUGAAACUGGUUUCUUGAGUGCGGCAGAGGCAGGCGGAAUUCGUGGUGUAGCGGUGAAAUGCUUAGAUAUCACGAAGAACAUCGGUGGCGAAGGCGCUCUGCUGGACCAUAACUGACACU
rnacentral:rRNA from 1 species